UUACGGCCACAUCCCGAGGAAACACCGGUUCUCGUAUGAUCACCGAAGUUAAGCAACAUCGAGUCUGGUCACUCCCUAGAUGGGUGAUCGCUUAGGAAUAUCAGC